GACAGAGGCCACGAACGUUGUUCGGAAUCACUGGGCAUAAAGCGCACGUAGGCGGCUAGGUCCGUCCGAUGUGAAAGCCCCCGGCUCAACCGGGGAAUUGCAUCGGAUACAGCCUGGCUCGAGGACGGUUGGGGUGAGUGGAACUCCUGGUGGAGCGGUGAAAUGCGUAGAUAUCAGGAGGAACACCGGUGGCGAAAGCGGCUCACUGGACCGUUUCUGACGCUGAGGUGCGAAAGCUAGGGGAGCAAACAGG
rnacentral:rRNA from 1 species